UAAGGGCGACUGAACAGGGAUGAGCCCAGCGCAGAACCUCCCGGGCCUAACAGCCUGCGGCGGAAUGUUGCGUUAAGGGAGAGGUCGUUUUAAAACCCCACAGCCACGCGAUCGCUAAGUCCUGCCACGAGUGGCGUUCCCGACGAAAGGAGGGAUUGUGGCGCCGUGGAGGGUGACAGUCCCGUGUGGACGCGUGCGAUUUGCUGUGCGAGGGUCAGGCCUUUCUCCCUGUGAGUCGCGUUGCUUGCACAUGCAGCGCUAAGCAGGUCGUAAACUCGAUCUAAGGCUAAAUAUAUCCACAGGACCGAUAGUGAACAAGUACCGUAAGGGAAAGUUGAAAAGAACUCUGGAGAGAGAGUCAAAAGACCGUGAAACCGCUCAGAGUACAAGCCGAUGGCGCUGGAAGGCAACCGGUGGCACGGUGGCGUUGGCUUCGGCUGGCGCUGCCCGAAAUGCUUGGAAGGCUAGUUGGGGAGGGUAGCGCCUGCUAAGCGUUGCUCACACCCGCACAGGCGAGAUCGUUCAUGGGCUGUGUUCAUAGGCUUUGCGGCCUUGCAUGGCUCCUCUGGCGGUUUCGUGCUGGGCGAACCUCUCGAAGCAUCACACGGUCAUUGCCCACCACAGCUCGUUGCUUGGUCACCCGCUGAGUCUUGAUGUGCAGGAUGUUUCA
rnacentral:rRNA from 1 species